GACGAACGCUGGCGGCGUGCCUAACACAUGCAAGUCGAACGAAGCAUAGCAAUAUGCUUAGUGGCGGACGGGUGAGUAACGCGUGAACAAUCUGCCCUGUACAAAGGAAUAGCCUCGGGAAACCGGGAUUAAAACCGUAUGACACUUUAGUAUCGCAUGAUAAGAAAGUCAAAUCGAAUAGAGGUAUGGGAUGAGUUCGCGUCUGAUUAGCUGGUUGGCGGGGUAACGCCCACAAGGCGACGAUCAGUAGCCGGCCUGAGAGGGUGAACGGCCACACUGGAACUGAGACACGGUCCAGACUCCUACGGGAGGCAGCAGUGGGGAAUAUUGCACAAUGGAGGGAACUCUGAUGCAGCGACGCCGCGUGAGUGAAGAAGGUCUUCGGAUCGUAAAGAUCUGUUAUUAGGGAAGAAUGGAAUUGAUAGGAAAUGAUCAAUUUAUGACGGUGCCUAAUGAGGAGCCCCGGUAACUAUGUGCCAGCAGACC
rnacentral:rRNA from 1 species